UACGUAGGGUGCAAGCGUUAAUCGGAAUUACUGGGCGUAAAGCGUGCGCAGGCGGUUUUGUAAGUCUGAUGUGAAAGCCCCGGGCUCAACCUGGGAAUUGCGAUGGAGACUGCAAGGCUAGAAUCUGGCAGAGGGGGGUAGAAUUCCACGUGUAGCAGUGAAAUGCGUAGAGAUGUGGAGGAACACCGAUGGCGAAGGCAGCCCCCUGGGUCAAGAUUGACGCUCAUGCACGAAAGCGUGGGGAGCAAACAGG
rnacentral:rRNA from 1 species